CCUACGGGAGGCAGCAGUGGGGGAAUUUUGGACAAUGGGCGCAAGCCUGAUCCAGCCAUGCCGCGUGUGGGAAGAAGGCCUUCGGGUUGUAAACCACCUUUUGUCAGGGAAGAAACGGUUUGUCCUAAUACGGCGGACUAAUGACGGUACCUGAAGAAUAAGCACCGGCUAACUACGUGCCAGCAGCCGCGGUAAUACGUAGGGUGCAAGCGUUAAUCGGAAUUACUGGGCGUAAAGCGUGCGCAGGCGGCUUUGCAAGACAGAUGUGAAAUCCCCGGGCUCAACCUGGGAACUGCAUUUGUGACUGCAUGGCUAGAGUACGGUAGAGGGGGAUGGAAUUCCGCGUGUAGCAGUGAAAUGCGUAGAUAUGCGGAGGAACACCGAUGGCGAAGGCAAUCCCCUGGACCUGUACUGACGCUCAUGCACGAAAGCGUAGGGGAGCAAACAGGAUUAGAUACCCUGGUAGUCCACGCCCUAAACGAUGUCAACUGGUUGUUGGACGGCUUGCUGUUCAGUAACGAAGCUAACGCGUGAAGUUGACCGCCUGGGGAGUACGGCCGCAAGGUUGAAACUUAAGGAUUAGACGGNGUGAGAGAGCGACGACGACGACGAGGGAGGAGG
rnacentral:rRNA from 1 species